UACGAAGGGGGCUAGCGUUGUUCGGAAUCACUGGGCGUAAAGGGCGCGUAGGCGGCCGAUCAAGUCGGGGGUGAAAGCCUGUGGCUCAACCACAGAAUUGCCUUCGAUACUGUUUGGCUUGAGACCGGAAGAGGUUAGUGGAACUGCGAGUGUAGAGGUGAAAUUCGUAGAUAUUCGCAAGAACACCAGUGGCGAAGGCGGCUGACUGGUC
rnacentral:rRNA from 1 species